UAUGGAGUUUUACACGUGGCCACUUAACUGAUGAGAAAAAUAUCUUCUGAGGAAUAUGUCAGCCAGUAAGUGGAAAUUAAAUCAUGACAAACUGGAGCAACUGUUCAGAUUAUUCAGUACCUCAGGAAUAAAUAAUAAAAUGUGGCAUAUAUACACAAUGGAAUACUAUUCGGUCUUAAAAAGGAAGGAAAUCCUGUCAUUUGGCACAACAUGGAUGAAUCUAGAAUGCAUUAUAUUAAGUGAAAUAAUCUAGACACAAGAAGAUAAAUACUGCAUGAUCUCACUUAUAUGUGGAAUAUUUAGAAAAUUGAACUCAUAGAAAGAAGCAAAGAGUGAAAUGACAGUUACCAGAGACUAGAAUACUAGCUGGGUGUUGUGUAGCUCAACUCAAAACCACUCCAAACACAUGAUCAAUACUCCCUGCAAGACCUUAAAAGGAACAUACGCUGGAGUUACGAAAUAUGAAG